rnacentral:rRNA from 1 species
UACGAAGGGGGCAAGUGAUGUUCGGAAUUACUGGGCGUAAAGCGCGCGUAGGCGGUUUCUUAAGUCAGAUGUGAAAGCCCGCGGCUCAACCUCGGAAGGGCCUUUGAUACUGGGAGACUUGAGUUCGGAAGAGGUGAGUGGAAUUCCUAGUGUAGAGGUGAAAUGCGUAGAUAUUAGGAGGAACACCAGUGGCGAAGGCGUCUCACUGGUCCGUCGCUGACGCUGCGGUGCGAAAGCGUGGGGAGCAAACAGG